rnacentral:rRNA from 1 species
CGCCUGUUUAACAAAAACAUGUCUUUUUGAUUAUAAUUUAAAGUCUAACCUGCCCAAUGAGGAGUUAAAUGGCCGCGGUAACCUGACCGUGCAAAGGUAGCAUAAUCAUUAGUUUUUUAAUUGAAAGCUGGUAUGAACGGUUGGACGAGGGAGUAACUGUCUCGGUUUAAUUUUAUUAGAAUUUUAUUUUUAAGUAAGAAAGCUUAAAUGAGUUUAAAAGACGAGAAGACCCUAUAGAGCUUUAUAUUUAUUAUAAUGGGUAUUUUGUAGUAUGUAUAUUGUAAUUAUUGUGAUACGUAUUUUGUUGGGGCGACAGAAAAAUUGGAUGAACUUUUUUUAUUGUAAGUCAUUAAUUUAUGAAUGUAUGAUCCGUUGUUAAAGCGAUUAUAAGAUUAAGUUACCUUAGGGAUAACAGCGUAAUUUUUUCUGAGAGUUCUAAUCGAAGAAAGAGGUUGCGACCUCGAUGUUGGAUUAAAAUUUACUUUUGGUGUAGAGGCUAAAAAGUUAGGUCUGUUCGACCUUUAAAAUUUUACAUGAUCUGAGUUCAAACCGGAG